AGCUGAAACUCUGAACUAGCUYGAAAUCCAGGAGGAGAAUAAGACAGGAGAUCUUCUGACUUAAGAGCUCUGCGGAUGAGCCAUCACUGGGAUUGACAUCUGACAACUCCUUCCCA